GUCCUGAAGAUGAGACUGUUUGGUCUUCUCCUGUGCCUGUUGACAGCUCCUCAAGGUGUCCUGUCCCAGGUGCAGCUGCAGGAGUCAGGAGCUGGUCUGGUGAAGCCCUCACAGACCCUGUCCCUCACCUGUGCUGUCUCUGGUUACUCCAUUACCAGUGAUUACUACUGGAGCUGUAUCCGCCAGACUCCAGGGAAGAGCCUGAAGUGGAUGGCGUACAUAAGUUAUGGUGGAAGCAAUUACUACAGUCCAUCCCGCAAAAGCGACAUCUCCAUCUCCAGAGACACGUCCAAGAACCAGUUCUCCCUGCAGCUGAGUUCUGUGACCACAGAGGACACAGCUGUGUAUUACUGUGCAAUAGGCACAGUGAGAGGACUUCAGUGUGAGCACAGACACAAACCUCCAUGCUGGGUAUACUCAGGACCAGCAGGGGGCAUGCAGUUCAUAGCAAACACCACCUAA